rnacentral:lncRNA from 1 species
CAAACACUUAGAGUUAAUAUUAUACUUCUAUUAAGUAUAAAAUAAGUUUUUGUGGUAUCCACUAGUGUAAAUAAUUUAAAUUAAAGAUCAAAUUUAUUCAUUACAUUCUUAUAGGGUCGAGGAGUGUAUCUGUAAAAAAUCAUCAAAUCGGAGCUAAAAUAACCGUUAAAUUGUGAUUUUUCGUUUAUCACUGUCGAAAACUUUUGUUCCGUUACGUAAUCUCUGAAUGUUUGUUUUUUAUGAUUUUUUACGUAUGCGAUCUCGGAAUGUGUACAAAUAAAUUUGACGGUUGGAUCGUUGAAAAAAGUUUUGUAGAAUGCAUAUUGCGUCAAAACAGUAGAUUAAACAAACACUUAGAGUUAAUAUUAUACUUCUAUUAAGUAUAAAAUAAGUUUUGUGGUAUCCACUAGUGUAAAUACUUUAAAUUAAAGAUCAAAUUUAUUCAUUACAUU